UCUUCAGAUGAUGAUCCCAAGCCUUCUGGCGAUCUCUUAUAAAGAAAGCCCUCCAUAAUAAAUUGAAAAGGGUCCUUUGGGGAAAAGUUUUCCCUUUGAUAAGAUGAAGCCGGGGAAGGUUUUCCGGUUUAUCCCGGAGGGCUUGUAGCUCAGUUGGUUAGAGCGCGCGCUUGAUAAGCGUGAGGUCGGAGGUUCAAGUCCUCCCAGGCCCACCAAUCAUUCUAUCAAUCUAUAAGCGCUUGUGGAAAUUGCUCAUAGAAAACUUUCUUUAUUCAUUUAUGAAAAAUCUCCUUAUAGAGAGAGACGCUUUUCCCUUUUGGUUUGAAAACUCAAAAUUAAAGGUGUUAAAGUUGCUUUAAAGGAAAAGUGACAAAGAAUAAGGAAUAACGAUUUAAGUUAUCCCUUUUUGGUGAUCUUGAUUUGGGUGUUUUGAAUGCGUUAUGUUUUUUAGGGGGGCCGUAGCUCAGCUGGGAGAGCACCUGCUUUGCAAGCAGGGGGUCGUCGGUUCAA
rnacentral:misc_RNA from 1 species